rnacentral:lncRNA from 11 species
AAACCCCCCAAGGGAGCCGUAGUCGUAGUUUGGAUGCUAAGACAACCUGCUUACCUGCCCGUAAAGACUGUUUCUACAACGGCUGUGCGUAGACACUAGCUUCUGCUGCCGUUCGUUCGUUGAGAAAAACAUUGUGCCCCCACUAUCCUCGCUUCUCGUUGUCGUUAACAAAACGAAGCCAAGGCGGCGCUGCCGCGGCGGUCACCAUCUUGGUUGAGAGAUGAACGUAUUUUGACGUGGUUUAAAAUCGGCGAAGACAUCACUUGCUCGCGAGGGUCAUGCGGCGGGCGAUUCGCGACCAGAUGGGGAAGGGCUAAGGGGUGGUGGCUCAGAUCUUUGAAUAACACAUACACGCAAGAGAGAGAAAGGGAAUACCAUGAAAUUUCGUAGUAUCGAUCAUAAAGUAUUAUAGACAAAUAAGGCGCGCUUUCUACCCCCAUUACAGUGUGAGACGAACUUCGGUGGUGAGAGAAUGCGCGAUUGCGUUCCAUAUCGGUCAUGGCAGUAGCAAUGAAGGUGAUGGUGUUCGGUAUGUAAGACGCACGAAAACUACGUGAAAGACAAGAGCUUGACAGAUUUUUGACAUCGGACGGGUCGGUUAAGGAUAGUCGGAGGCGGCAUACAAAACGAGCUUCAAGUGGCGACUAGUAUCCCAUGUUUUUGAACCAAAAAGUUGCCAGUGAAAGCAGUCCCAGGCUAAUACUAUCCGCAACGGAUGGACUCGCCAGCUAAACGAUAGAUUCGGGUCAAAAUUAGUCCGUCAAGACAUUAUAAUGAAAAUCGGCAUCUUUCCACUCGGUAUUACUCGGCAAAGGGUAAAACAGAGAGUAAUUGACGCGUGGACAUCAAGUAAGUAGACUGCGAUUGCCCUGACAACGGUCUGAGUCUCUCGAUGUGGUCAGCUGCAUUCAUUGUUUUAUUUUGGGUGAGUACCCUGAUGUCCAUUGCCGACUAACAGUGGGCACUGUAUGCUUUAAAGUUCCACGAAUCGCAUGUAAAAUAUACCACACGCAUUUCUAACUAGCCUGGAGUCAAUUUACGGAAAACCCAAUUUUAUUCGGUUUCCCUAUUUUUGGUAUUCUGGUUAUAAUUCUGUAGCACGUUGCAUGUGAAAUGCCAGUCUUGGCCGACGGAGCCCUUGGAUGCCAAGUUCUGCUUUUGUGAAAAACCGCAUUGAUUUCGGCACUGUCUCCUUGUCCUUCGGCUCUCGGCAUCGGCUCUUUGUUAACCUGUAACACUAUGAUCUCCCUUCUUUCGUAGUAACCUUCGAUGAAUUUCCAUAGCGCUGUGGCCUUCGAAGAACAAAAAUUCGCUUACUAGGCGUUGAUUUUCGAGGUUAAAAACUUUUUUCCUUCUGAAAUGAUUUUCCCUUGAGUAAAGUCAACCGGUUUUUACUCACAAGUUCCUAGAAGUCUAGGGUAUUUGCCAGCAACGCGUACUUCAAAUUUUAACGCCUGCCUAUGUCAUUUCUAACAGCCUGAUAUACCUUCUAUAACAACUUGUUGGUCAAUAAAGGCAUGAGGUAGUAUCUACCGGUUUUAGAGGCAAACAGCUAAAUGAAGGCGUUGAAGGCUGCUUGAAAAACGUUGCUAGCUGCAAUUGUUGUUAGGUAUUCGAUAUAUAAAUAAAAUGAUAAGGGUAAGAUGAUAUGUCGGUCACUACGUGCUGCCCAAUUUAUUCAGCGCUUAAAAUAGUUCUGCUGUUAUUUAGUCAAUUAGACAAAAUGAUAUUGAGGAUUUUAAAAUUUGCAGGACAUUGACGCUGUUCUUGUAGUCGUUACAACACAAUUUAUUUGUUUACUAAUGCAGAGCUUUUUUGGAUGACAAUAGGGUUACUGUGUAUUACAGGUCACUUUCUAUGAUUGCGAUUUUCAAUGAGAGAUUGAACAAUAAAGAGACGUACACAAAGUAAUGAGAAUUUGUUGCAUUUAACAGAUCAGAUUGUCACAUGUGGAGUAGAAACUUCUUGAAUUUACGUGUAGUUGCGUUAUGCAUAAGGAAGUACGGCGUCAACCUUCGACGGGCAAAGCUAGGAUUAGUCAACCACAAUAUAUAUAUACGCAAUGACGUAAAUUAAAGCCUAUACUCUAUUAGCAAGGAUACAAUGUAAUUAGCCGCUGAGUAACGCGGUUAGAUAUUAGCGGGAGACCCUGUAAAACAUACAUAAUUUAUAUAAACAAAGGACGAAGAAGGUAACCCUAUUUUGCCUGCAUAUGGCAGUGAUAAGAUUGAUAUAUUUCGCAGAGGAUGGUUUACGUUACUACCAAUUAAUGCAAGAGAAAUAGGUUGAAAAUGUGGAAAAAAAUAAACAUGAUGUAUUUGAAACUGCACUCUUUCUAGUUUAGGAAAUUGCAUAAAUUAAGUUUGACCACACAUAUCAAGACGGCCUCUGGACCAUUCGACGAAACCAAAUGGCGUCAACUAGUUAUAUAAAUAGAAAAAUUAUAACUGCUUAUAUUGACGUUAAUAAAGAAGGUAGAGAAAGAGUCUUUUGGCGGUCUUAGAGUCAAUUUCAUAACUAUGGCAUAUUAUAUUAGUAUAUAUCUGUCAAGUCGCUUCUAAGUUCUCAACAGACUUUCUCUACCUUAUAUAUGUUUACAUAUAUGAAGAUGCAUGAUAUAUGUAUUAAAAUCAAUUGCACGUUCACACAUACUGUACGUGAUACUAUCGAAUCGAUUAGUUGCCUCCUACCAUAAAUCAAAAGAACGAAUUUCUUGGCAAACUUUGACAUGAGGUCCCAAAACACGAUGAGGGUCUCUACAAGGACAAUGAUUGAGAAUGGUAUCGUAACUCUAUUUCCCAAAAAAUCCAAAAUCGUCACUACAUACGUUUUAAAACUCGACAAAAAGCUGUGAUAACUUGCUUUUCUCAUCUCGAAUAUGUGCACCAUGAAUUCCUAUGGGCCAAGAUACGAACACGUGAGUACUAUGCGUCGGUAUACUUCUAUCACAAUUAGGGCUGCUCCCUUUACCAGAGGAAAAAUAGCCGACUAAAGCUCAAACUCCCAACUAAACUUGAUCUCAGUUCCUAAGUUACUCGAUUGUACCUUUGGGAACAAUCGAACUACAUUACUAACCCAUAAACACUAAUUGUACCUAUUCCUCCCGAUGAUGGUGACCUGACUGCCUAACCAUCUGAAUCAGCAACAUUUCAAAUAAGUUUAUGUUACUCAUUUUACUAAUUGACUCUUCUUUUUUUUGCCUUGAUCUGAUAACGUAUAUGAAUCAAAAAAACACUAAGGCUCAAACAAAAAGCGUAAUUUCUGCUGAGACACAAUUAGGCACUAAAGAAAUUGCAUUAAUUGUAACUAGGCUUAUCUAUAGUCAUCCCCCGAAAAUGCAAUUCAUAGACCCUUUAACUUGACUGAGUAAAACCGAUAACGACUUGAGAGUGAGGCAUGUUUUAAAUAGGACAGAGAAGGUAAACAAAAAAGGCAAACAGAAUGGGGCCAAAUUAUUCAUUUUGGCACAUGCGCUAGAGAUCAUUCAUCCACAUCGCAACAGAAGUGCAGAGUUUUCCCCUAUUAAAUAUGAAUUAAGCAGGCAUUGAUCGGGGUAACGUAGAUACCCGGCAUAGUCUAAUAGCUAACAAGGCUGUACAAGGAGGUGUCACACCAAUUUCAGACCAUCUAUUUUUUUUCUUUUAGACCAUUCUAAGCGGAGCAUCACGCAAUCGCAUCUAUUGAAUACGAGACACCGUUAUACGUCACCGUAGCAAUUCGAACGAUAAAUUAUAAACGUGAGUCGAACUGGGGCCAUUAUGUAGUGACAGACUGGGAAUGGUUAACUGUUUUUGUGCAUUUAAUUUUUGUACAAGUUGUCUUUUUCGAAACGUCCACUGUAAAAUUUACUCAGAUUAUUAGGGGUACCCAAUUACAAAUGAACCGAUAAUAGCCAUAUACAUUACCGUUAUGAUAUUCAGAACGUUUUGCUUGUCAUCGUCCGUUCAGGCAUGUGCCGCCUGUAACGUAUCUUUUAAGAAGAAUAAGAGAAAUAUAUAGGUAUCUAGGCAUAAAUUAAAAUAACAUAAGUUAAUAAAUAAAAUAUUCAGUGGUGUAACACAUCUUAACAAACACUGCAUCAACCGAUGAUGAUCGGUGAGCACAUGGAUUUUUCACAAUCAUUUUUCUGUCCAGGAAGUGAAUCAUUGUUUCAGGAUUCACUGUGUGGUUUUUUAUUUGCGAAAUUUUGUAAGAACUACAAAUUAUGCAAAACACACAGCAAGUCGGACUUUAUCAAAAUAGUCAUGUAUAUAAAGAAAGGCACGCCAGAACAGUAACAGUCGAUUUAAAAUCUUAAUAAGCACUUGGGCUAUUUUGAUAAAAUUUGAAAUAACUUCGCCUGUCACUAAUUUAUUAGAGAAGUUAUAUUUGUGCUAGUGAACAUUGAUAGCUCUUUAGUUGAACCUCUGCUCGGUACAAAAAAGCAUGUUUUUCCUCGUGGCAAAAUCGAUGGUGCGCCAAAAGAACAUAGUAUAUCUCACUUUUGAUCAAAAAUGUACUAAAGGUACGCGAAAGUAAAGUUUUUGAUGAAAUAAUCACAUUGGACAAGUGCGUCUUGGGACACCGUUACAGCCAUUCAAUGGCCGUUUGGCCUCCGAGCGCUUUUUCAGAGUUUUCUCCCAUAAAACGGCAAUGACGGCAAGAGACACGUUAGCCGAUUAUUCAGGGCCUGAAACAUUUUGUUAUAGAAAUAAAAAAAAAGUAAAAUUUCUACAAGAACAUUUUUGGGGUUUAAAUGUUUUCUUAACAAGCCUUAACAGUCGGCUUCGCUAAAGUUACUUUUAAAAGCCGAAGGAAGGAAGGAAUCAACGCCAGCUUGGCCAUGUUGGCUUACGGCGAAUCGUUUCCAUUCAGCCCUCGCAUGUUGGGAUUGCGAACAUGUAUAAACUUUUGUAACCGCUGGACACGAGUUUGGUUUUGGUAAAAAGUUUCCCUGAUAGUUUUUACGUUGAACUAAUAACACGUACACGAAAGCUGUUUUAAAAAUUCGGCGAAACAAAUCAACAUUUGAACAUAACCGAUAGAAACAGUACAUGUGGAAUAGUAAAAUAUUUUUUUAAAGUUACUUCUUAACUUCGCUUGGGCUUCUCUCUCGUAUUUACCUCAAAAUGCGAAAUAAUUUAGGAGCUGAAAUUUCAAACCAAGGAUGAUCAUCGACUGCAUGAAAUUUUGCAUUUUUACAAAAGGUUGAAUUAAAGUCAGUUUCCCGGCUUGCCUCAAGCAUUAGUCGUACUUCUUGACAAUUAUUUUCUUGUAAAAUAAUACCAGACCCAGAUAACGUUAUAUUUUAAGUAAAAAGACUAAAGAUGUCAUCACAUCUUGACAUCUAUUAUGAUGAAAAUUUCCGGCGAGCAACAUUCUCAAUUGGUACGUAGUUUUACUAUUCUGCUUAAUGGAUAUACAGAAAACUUGUCAAAAAGAUUUAUAGUUUAUGAAUAUUAGCUUAUAUAACUAUUGGAUGGUUAUUUGAGCUCGCGUAUUGGUCGUAUCUUUCUUUGCUGAGGUAACAAUAGACAAAAAAGUUCUCAGUUUAGAAGUCUCAUCCGUAAAAUUGCAUAACUUAUGAGUGCUAUUAGAAAACCCUCGACUAAAUCAAAAUACCACCUAACCAUUUAAAUUUUGGCCUACGCUCUUCUCAAACAAAAACCCUACAAUACCUACUUCCUCUAUACGAGAUUACAUAUGUCACCAAGCGCUACGAUUUCCAUAAACAGAAAAAGCUAAUACGACUGAAUGGAAAAAGUUUUAACUCAGACGUUUUUCGUCUAUGGAUCUUACAAAAUAUUUCUAUGCAACGGUCGAGCAAGAAGUAUCCACGGGGCAAGAAAAUGGACUAAUUUACGACUGAAGUGAUGGGUUGGUUAGAAGCAGUUUUGCUUAGAUAUGACUCGAGGAGGUUUUUUCGUUGUAGCGAGGAGAUAACUAACACAAAAGCUUCACCUAUCACUAACUAUAUAAUAAUAACUAUUUAUUGGAGAUUUCCGCAAACCUCUGAUGACCCUUUUCCCUACGGAAAUGACAAUAAAAACAGUGGAAAUAUUAUUGUUCUGAUCUACGGGACAGCAGUCUAAAACUGUGUAUUAGAAUAAAGAAUAUUUGCGGUACCGGACGCUGACAGUACGGGAAACUAUGACAAAUAUAUUCUCCAGGUAGAGCUCAGGCAGAAAGCAUUCUCCAGCUAUUGAGUACGCCCAACAUAUUUCCCAGAAAUCCGUAAGCACGUACCAGUACAUGACUGCUCAAGUCUCACCACCCUUUAUACGCAUUAGCAUUGAGACUCAAUGUAGUUCCCACCUAUUGAAUCCUUUAUCUAUAUGCAAGAGCAGCGUUGAUCAUGAUUUAAAAAAGUUAAAAUUAAUGCAGUUAUUAUUUAUAUAUAUAUAUAUAUUCUCUAAAAAAUAACAUAUAAAUACUAAAUCUUAGACUGUCAAAAAAGAAUCGGCCAAUUUUGAAAUUGCUGAACUUGUACUUUAGAACGACAAAUUUAUAAUUUCUGUUAAAGGUAUUCUCUCUUAUGUUUUACACGCUUGUCCCAGCUUUUCAACAGCCACCUACCCCUCGUGUUUUCAUAUGUCAUUUUUUCAUGUAUAGCUUCUCGAAAUAGAUCGAUAGUGAGAUUUGCUUGCCAUACAGUCGCUCUUUUUAGCAUAUAGAAUGGGUUUAAAUAUUGGUCAUAAGCAGGUUGAAGCCAAUGUUAUAUAUGUUGCUUUGCUCAGUCCAGGAAACGAUCAAGGCAUCAUAAGUCUCGCAUAAGAUUAGACUGCGUGCUUGCGAUUGCCUUAGCGUUCUAUAAGUUUCAUAAAAAUUCGAGGUAGCGAACUGCAUUCAUUAUUUUAUCUUUGGCGCGCAUUUUAUACUAGCAGACGUUCCAAAUGGCCACCGCAAAAUACUACUGCCAUUUUACGCCCGAACCUACUUGACACUCGUACCAUUCUAUUCCCUAACCCCCUUCAGGCUGGCGGUAAAAGUUGAGCCAAAUCUCGUCUAUGGCAUUCGUAUGCUCCAAGUGGGUUUUUGGUUAAAGUUUUGCGAAUUGCACCUGAAAUACAGCGCACGCAUUUCCAACUGGCCUGGAAAGCGACUUCAUAACCAGUUCCCACAUUUGCAGUAUUUGGAUUAUAAUUUACCAACAAGCUGAAUGUAACAUUCCGACUUUGACUUCAAGUCCCAGUUUUGUUAAAACACUUCAGCACACCAAUUUUCGUUCCUGAAACAUUUGCAUCGUUCAUGUACAGUUCUUUUGCUUGAGAAUUCCUUGCCUAAUCGCUUCAUUAACCUCGACGAAUUUUCACAUCGUUAUAGCCUUAAAAGAAAAACGUGAUAACUCAGCAUUGAAUUUUGAGGCUUUUGUGUUUCUGAACCAAAUUUUUCCUGAAAUAAACGUAAGCCCAGUUUCAGUCAUAAGUUUAUAGAAAAUAAAAGCAUUCACUCCCGAAAUUUCGUCUGCUAUGGGCACGUAGUUCGAAAAUUAUUCAAUUUCGAAGUCCGUUGGAUUUGUCUGUAACAACGUGGUACAUAGAAUUAAUAUCUAUAAAGCUAUCCCAUUCCACAGGGAUUCACACUUCCUGUGCAAAGCCGUGCGUAUAGACAGCAGCUCUGUGGCCAUGCCCAGUCUCGCUACCUUGUUUCAUAUCGCAAUGCAAGAUCAGGCAUAAAACGAAUUUCCCUUCGUUUUCGUUUACGGUCGUUUUAAAGAAUAGCAUAUCUUGAAUACUCGCAUUUAACAUCUUUAAGCUGUAUAUAGAUCCCCUCGCCAGAUGGGUUAACGCAAGUUCGAUGAAUUUUCAUAAACUGAGAAGAAUCCAUGACAUGUGCUGAGGCGAAGGAAGCCCAUUGAAAAUAUGCAGAACAGUGUGAUUUCUAGUCUUGGUUGGGCCACUGCCUACUUCAUAAUCAACAGACAGACUCCUAACAUAGUAUUUCAUAGUGCCAAUCUACCCAAACAAAGAGCCGGUAAAGCAAAAUGAGAAGAACAUAAAAAAGGAAAAAAAGAAAAAAAUACGACAAAUAUGUCUCUGUUAACAUAGAAACAAGUCUUAUUGGUAGAUGUCUUUGAAUAUGAAAUGGCAUCUAGUAAGAUCUUCGAUGAAUUUGUCAAACAUCCUAACGAUAAUGCUCAUCGUAACGGCUAAGCGUUUUCGAAUCAGAAAUUUCCAUGCGUUUUACGAAUUACUCUUCUCGCUUGACUUAAAUGUGAUAACAAGAAACCACAUUUGAGGAACGCCAAAUAACGAGAUUUCAAAAGUAUACAUUUACUAGCUUCAUGUCAUAUGAAGCUUUCGGCGUUAUUUUUCGAGCAAAAAUAACCUCUUCAUGCAGGGUAAAAUAUACCUAGAGAUUUAGCCACAGAUAGAGAUUAAAAAUAUUGUAUUGUUUUUAUGUAUCGAAAAACUAUUGUUGACCCAUAAGCUCUUAUUUAACUGUUAAGUUAACGCGGUGACAAAACUUAAGUCAGUUGCUGAGUUGUCAACAUUACUACAUGUUUGACGAAAUAUUAUUGAGACUCGAAUACUCAUAUAGGUAUUUAAAUAGGGGUUGGGAAUGCUUCCGCAAUAACGGACUUGUGCAGCCUACAUAACAGAUAGCUGCGCAGUUACCGUGAAGCGCAGUGUUUUCGCAAUUGGUUUCCGGUGUCGCUUACCAAUGAUUAAUUCUCCACAUUAUCUAUAGCUUCUGUCUAUAGUUAUAUCUAUACCUUACUUUCGGCGAAAUCUUACCCAUUUUUAGGCACAUUUUUGUGUUCGCCGUUUUACUAAUAGUACUCUAAGAAAGCUUUCGUAGACAUUACCGUCAAAUUUUCUAGUAGACUUCACCGAUUAAAACUUUUUAUAAAAAGCAUGAAACAUAUUGUAAAUAGGUGAUUUUAUGCAAAGAUUAGCAAGGCUUCGCAAAAUAAAUAUGAGGUUCAACUACCAGUUCUUUAAAAUACUGAGAUUGGUGAUUGACACUGUAUACAGCUCGUUAAGAUAGUUGAUAACGAUGUACUGAUAUUUCAUCCGCAAUUGGUCACAACAGAGUUCCAUAGAGAUACUUAUUAUACACAUCAGAGCUAUUAUCAUGAUCUAUCCUAGCAGGGUGUCGCGGCUGCCGCCCGAGAGUCGUCACAAAGUCCGUCGAUCUGUUAACGAUUACCUGAUUUACGGUUUGAAAUACAUUUAACGUUUAUAAGGUGGACAGUUAUAUGCAUAGCUUCGCUUUAGCUGAGACUAUUACAAAUAGCACGGCGUGCUUCUCGCUUUGAAAUAGUCAACCCAAAUUAUCCGAGUACAUGAUAUUGCCUAUAUGAGAUGCUCUUAUGUUCUAGGUUGAAAAUAAAUCUCUAGAUUUGGCUUGUGAUGUUAGCAGGAUUCACCACCUCGAUUAAUCUUCUUGCUAACUUGAUUGUUCUUCAGCGACAAUAUUGCCGUUCUCAUAGUUUGCAGAAUUAUGGUCUAAUCUGGUUUUUCGUUGUUCGCGAAAACCGCGGAUAUUGUGUAGCAUAUUGGAAUAAAAUUACACAAGUGGAACAGUAAACUAACUGAAGACUAAGAAGAGACGUGGAGCCUGAUUAAUUAAGGCUAUUAUGCGCGUAUGAAGAUCUUAUGCCAUCGUCAACGCGUUGUAUCAAAUUAAGUGACCAUAAAACAUUCAAAAGAUGGAACAAAAACGAUUUUAGACUAAGAAAUCAGUUAGCAGCAGCAGUUGAUAUCAAAUUGGUAGUUUUAUUAUCCUAGUUAAUAUAGGCUUUUACUUUCAAGACGACAAAUUUAAAAUACGCCAUCAGCAUAUAAGUCGAGUGUUGUGGGAUCAUAAAUUUUGCACUUGCAAACGGCCACUUAACAUCAUGUCCAGCUAACUCCCGCAGGCAGCGGUGGAGUAUACGUAAGCUUCGUCGUGUAAUUUCGAUCUGCUGCUCAUUUGAAACGACGCUGAGUCAACAUUAAUGGUCCUGAAUAUCGGACCUUUCAAUGCGUGUCAUGCCCAGGUUAUCGACCAGAAUUUAUUUAAUUCCGACAAACGCAGUUUAACGAUGGUGUGUCAAGCUUUGAGGUUUCUCGAAGGUUUUUCAUCCAGGUCAUUCAGUACGCAACAAAAUAUUCGCCCGCCUCUCGAAUGGAAAGGUCACGUUCGUGACAUUACUUCGCAUGUGGCGCUUCGCUUUAUCCCGCUUAGUGACUUAAUUUCAACUUUACACAAUGUUAUGGACAAUGGAAUAUAGCGAACUGGGGGACAAACCAUGUUGAGGUUGAUCUCGCCUGUCAGGAUCACAUCAAUCUAUCGCAUAAAUCUCAGUAAAUAUCCAUUAUGAAUGGUACUCAAAACAUACCGUUAUAUGACUUCGGUAAUAGCAUCGUUGCAUUAUAUUUAGGUUGUUUAAGCUGGUUACGCGGACAUGAAUUCAUUAUCUGUCUCUCUAUAUAUGAAUAAUAUUUUUUUUUAAUUAUAAGCCUAUGUGCGGAAUUCCUUUCUGUAUCUUAUAAUUACUAAUAUUUCUCUAACUUAAUCAUUAAUCCAUUAACGAAUAAAUACGUGACGUCAUCGGAUUAAACAUUAAUCAUAGUGUCAUUACAUGAUGCCAUUUAACGAAGCUGGCAGACAAGUCUUACAUUUUAGAGUACAAGAAAGUACGUUUCAUGACACGACAAGCCUGGGUUCCUCUCACCAAAAGAGUAUCUAUGUUUCGUCAAGUUUAGCACAUCUGGCUGACUUGAACUUCACGAGGACAGAUGUUUGUUGCACGGCCUGUGAUGUCGUGUAAGAAUAUCCACGAGGAUCAGUUGCAAACGUAACAAGCAUUGAGAUUCAACGUAACGUAGUACAGACACCAGUGGUAACCAAUAGUGUCAUUUUACAUGAAGCGUUUGCUCAUGAUCUUAAGAACUGGAUUUUAACCCAAGAUUUUUUUUUUUAAUUUUCGUUAUAUAAUCUGUUGUUGUAGAAUACUCGCUAGUAUUUAAAUCGAUUCGUUAUUCAUAGAGACCACGCGUAAUGCGGACGUGGUGAUCGAGUUUCCCUUACUUACAUUACACGUGAGCGCACAAAAAAGGACAUCCCAAUGUAACUACACACUGUUUUGGACAGUAUAGAUAAAGACAAGAUUGACAAGCUUUGUCCUCAGCCCAAUCUUCAGUGACUUUUAUCCUUCCCGCUUUAGUUAAGACUAAUUCCUUUAGAGUAAGAAGCAUAUCUUUAAAUAUUGACCCAGAAUUACUUUUAAGUAUAAUGGCCAGUAAAGCAAACUGUGUUUGGACUAACGGCUUUUGAUUCUACGUUCGCAGUGCCUUGGGUGCCUUCCUAAUAUGCAGCAAGCUGAAGAAAGCUCUUCUAGACAAUGUAUUCAAAUUUAUCCAGCAAAUCUGUUUGUUCUGAAAAAUUGCCUACCGCUUUCUAUGCCAACUAAGUAAAUUUAACGCGUCGUAAAAUUGGAUAAUUAUCUCAUCUCAGUCAUUAUUUACGCUACACUUAUUGCAUUUACGGAACAACUAUAGCAAUCAGAAUGCACAAUAUACGUUGUUCAAAGAUAGACAGAGAAACGUUUUUGUGAAAAAUUUAACCAGGCAAAAAGCUGCGUCAGCCUGUACAAUUUAUUAUCGAAUUAUCAUAUAUACAGUAAACGUGAUCUAGGAAAAUAGGACUAAAGAAAAUCGCUUUUUCUUGCAAUCGACUGCAAGAAGCCAACAAAACAACGAUUUUUGCAUCUGAUUCUACUACAUUCGUCGUAAUAGGUAUAUAGCUAUUAUUCUUAAAGGUAGUUUAUGGAUCUUCUAGUUGAAUAUAAUUUCUGUACCAUAUGAAGAUGGGUGGCGGGGAGAAGUUAGACUUAAUUAGAUUAAGCACCUUCAAGAAUAAUAGCCAUAUGCCGAAUACGAUUGAUACAUUGUGCCUUGUUAUGAAAAUAUAUAAUGUUCGAAAAUUUAUUGACUAAAUCAAUAAUCUCUGUGUACGAUGUCUGCCGCCCUUGAUAAUAUACAGGUUAUAGAGACAUUCAUCGAAGUAGAAUUAGAUACAAAAAUCGUUAUUUUGUGAGCUCUUUUCUGUUGAUUGCAAGAAAAAGGCAUUUUCUUUAAUCCUAUUUUUUUGUUUGACUAGAUUUAUCGAUUACAUAAAUAAAACUGCUAGUUGUAACCUUAAACUUCUACAUAAGUCUUACAUUUAUUCGGCUACUUAAUAGCGACGAGCGUCCCACACUUGUCCUUAGCAAGGCCGGCGUUUGUAUAAAAAUAAAAGGCCCCCGCACGAAAUAGUUAAAAGUCAUAUCGAUGGGCACUCACCAUCCAGGGUGCAUCGGCUCUAAUCGCAGGCAUCAUCUAAAAUCGCGCCAAUAUUUUAAAACUGCUAUUUGCUAUCGUUGCGUUAUUAACUGAGGGGAAAUCCAUAAUUUUGUUGGCUUUCGUGGGCUGAAAAACUAGGCGCUUUCGAUUACAAUCCCGCUUGAAAUUAAUAAAUAAAAAAUGCAACGCAAGUUACUGACUGCGAGAGUGAUAAAAACAUUUGCCAGGGCCGCAAAUGUAUGAAAUGUCAUUCCGACUUUUUUAGCAUGAACAAGGGUUCAAACUCUAUGUUAGCUUAUAAAAGAACAUGGUGCAACUCUAGAUUUUUGGGUACAUAUGUGCGCGAAGCCCGUGCAAACCGUGAACGGUAAAACGCAAGGCAGAACACUAUUGUAACACGCAGAACAAUCUUGCACUCUUACCACUAAAUCCACAUAUUACACGGAAAGAAUUAGUAGACUUGAAGUUACCUUAUUUUGGAAUCCAUUCCAAGUUAAGCAUUCGAAGAAUUUACUACAAUACGAAAAAGAGAAUAUUCUUUUGUAAUAGUUUUUACAUCAACACUUGAUGACAAUAUUCAGAAAAUAAAAUAAGCUACGCGUUUACUAAAAGUGACAAGAUACAAGAACAGUAGAAAUUAUAUUAUCACCGCUAUACAUCAGCGUCCAUCUUUACGGUAUUCUUGGGUAGCACCGUGAGAAACGUCUCGAAGA